rnacentral:rRNA from 1 species
GACGAACGCUGGCGGCGUGCUUAACACAUGCAAGUCGAACGGAAAGGCCCUGCUUUUGUGGGGUGCUCGAGUGGCGAACGGGUGAGUAACACGUGAGUAACCUGCCCUUGACUUUGGGAUAACUUCAGGAAACUGGGGCUAAUACCGGAUAGGAGCUCCUGCUGCAUGGUGGGGGUUGGAAAGUUUCGGCGGGUGGGGAUGGACUCGCGGCUUAUCAGCUUGUUGGUGGGGUAGUGGCUUACCAAGGCUUUGACCGGUAGCCGGCCUGAGAGGGUGACCGGCCACAAUGGGACUGCGAGACGGCCCAGACUGCUACGGGAGGCAGCAGUGGGGAAUAUUGCACAAUGGGCGGAAGCCUGAUGCAGCAACGCCGCGUGCGGGAUGACGGCCUUCGGGGUGUAAACAGCUGUCGCCUGUGACGAAGCGUGAGUGACGGUAAUGGGUAAAGAAGCACCGGCUAACUACGUG